UACUGCAAACUUCCUGGCUGAAAACCACCGAAGUGUAUUAUCUUACAAUCCUGGAGCUCAGACAGUCAGAGCAGCCUCCUUCUGGGGGCUCCAGGGGACGAGAACCCGUUUCCUUGCCUUUUCUGGCUUUUAGAGGCUGCCUGAUAUACUCACGUCACUCUGACCUUUCCUUCUGUCCUCACUUCUUCUCUGCCUCUGACACUCCCGCUUCUCUCUCAUGAGGACUCCGUGACUGUAUCAAGCCCCCCAGACAGUGCAGGACCAUCUCCCGCUCUCCAGAUCCUUGACCACAUCCGCAAAGCCCCUCUUGCCACGUAAGGUGACCCAGUCACAGGUUUAGGGGGUCAGGAUGGGGACAUCUUUGAGGGGCCCUUAUUCUGCUGGCCACGCCCCGCGUCCACUGGCAGGGGUACUGAUGGCCAGGCGACCACAGCAGAGCAUGGCUCCAGACCUUUCCUGCUGGUCCUCAGGGUCACUGACGUGCCUGUGUGGCAGGCGAGUGCCGUCAGUUUCUGAAGAAUGCUGGGUAGAGAGGACAACUCAGGAAACCUGUUUUCCCUGCCCCUGAGUCUCUCCUCCGCCCUGGCCGUGGUCUUCCUGGGAACAAACGGAGACAAGUCUGCCCAGAUGGCCCAGAGGUGUGUACCCAUCACACAGGAAGAACCAGGUAUGUUUUCUCCUGUGAUUCCAUAGGGCUGAUCUUUUCACACUUUCACACCAGCUCAUGAAAGCCAGUGGGGCCUGCAGGUGGCAGGAGGGGCACCGUGGUGAUGAAGAAAGGGCAGCCUUGGGUGGAAAACUGAGCUGUGGAGGACAGGGCAUUUCCCAGUGUCACGGGAGAAAUCAAGUCACAAGUUACUUUCUCUGGACCAGAACCUCAAUGUAUUAUAUAGCAAAAUUACAUCUCUGAUAAGGAAGGAGAAGAAUGUAAUUCAUUUAUAUGAUGGAAUAUGAUGCAGGAAAUUUAAAAAAAAUGUGAUUGGUCUAUAUGUCACUGAGACAAGCUUGCUCAGCUCGCCGCACAACAGCAAGAUGAGGUGCUGAAGCAAGGAAUAAGACCUUAUUCGGAAAGCUGGCAGACUGAGAAGACAGCAGAUGAGUGUCUCCGUCUUAUGCGGGCUGGAUGCCAGUUCCUUUUAUAGCACAGAGAGGGGGAGGAGAUGAGGAAGUAAAGUAAAAAGGCCAUACGUUUUGCAAAUAUCUCCUGGAAUGGCCAGCCUCGGGGAGGGGAUGUGUUAAUUUCUUCUUUCUUGCAGCCAUUCACAAGUGGACAGGGGCCGGAUGUUUCGCUGAACAAAGGCACUUCGGUUUAACAUUCAGGCAGAGGGGCAGGAUUCCCAGAGGCAGGGGAAGAGUAGCUCCCCGCUCGCCACAGGUGCCGUCCGCAGUUUCACUGUACUGGGCGUACGUACUUAAACAUGCAUGGCUUAAUCUUUGAGACAAGCCUAUGCUACAGGCAGGAUCGACCAAGUAGAGAGAAAAAGAUAAAUGUUUCAAUUCUGCUUAUGAAGGUAUAAUUUACCAAAUUCCUCUAAGUUAUAAUUAGUUUAAGGGGAAGGUUCUCCUUACACUUGGAAAACAGAUUGAAACCAGUCAUUUUUCAGAUAGAAACUAUAAAAAUUAUAACCAUAUUCACCAGUUUACUCAGUCCUAUGUAACUAAUCCUUUUUUAAAAACAGCUUUAAGAAGCCAUCAAUUUUCCCAUUAGAAUUCUUCAAUUUCUUACCCAGUUCAGCAUUAUUGUCUGAAAGCCAGAAACUUAUAUUUACCCAAAGGUCCCUUCUAUAAAACGUCUUGAAGAGGAAACAUUUUUGCAAAGGCGUCAGAGUGAAACCAUAACUGUCUAUAAUGACGAAAGACUUAAGAAGCACGUUUAAAUCUGGUUACAAUGCAACUGACAAAGUAACUUGGUUACUGCUGUGACAUGCAACACUUUUCAGACAAUAGCUAGAAUUAUGACUGAUAACAUUUUACCAGGACAUAUCAAAUUUUAGGAAGUCCAUAUAAUCCCUAGAAUACCUCUACCAUCUGCCAUACAAUAUAACCUAAGAAGAUUUAUGACUUAUUUGACAACACUUCCCAUGUAAUUCAACAUACCAAGUGAACCUAAUUAGUUCAUAUCUCUCUUUGGGGUGUUUCAGGGGUCCUUUGAACCACUUUGGUUUAAUAUUCAGGCAGAGGAGCAGGGUUCCCCGAGGCAGGCCAUUACGUAUAGACAGUAUCCUUUUGGUGAACAAAAGCAACGGGAAGCAAAGGUUAAAGUAAAAGAAACAGAUCCAACAUGGAGUCCGAGUCGGCUCUUCCCUGUAUGUGUGUGCAGUUCCCGAAAAAGAUCACGAAAACAAAUUAAGUGAAAAA